UCGGGCGUGGUGCACGGUGCACAGCUGCUCAUUAUGUGGUGUAGCGAUCGAUAUGUUGCAGGAGCUUGACGGGGCUCGACUCCCCGCGUCCGAA